CAUGAUGUUGACUACUGAUCUACAUAGUUCACAGGUUAAACGGAAGAUAACGAAAGAGCAGUACAUUCAAAUGAAUCGUGGUAUAAAUGACAGUAAAGAUCUUCCAUCUGAAUAUCUUGAAGCAAUUUAUGAUGAUAUUGCACAGAAUGAAAUCAAGAUGAAACAUACACCAAAAGUGAACAGUAGAUACGAUGCUACAUAUUUGCAAAGUGAGAAACAUCGUCGUAUGCUGUAUUCUAUGGAAAUGGAG